rnacentral:rRNA from 1 species
CACGUAGGCACCAAGCGUUGUCCGGAUUUAUUGGGCGUAAAGAGCUCGUAGGCGGUUCGGUAAGUCGGGUGUGAAAACUUUGGGCUCAACCCAAAGCGUGCACUCGAUACUGCCAUGACUAGAGUUCGGUAGGGGAGACUGGAAUUCCUGGUGUAGCGGUGAAAUGCGCAGAUAUCAGGAGGAACACCGGUGGCGAAGGCGGGUCUCUGGGCCGAUACUGACGCUGAGGAGCGAAAGCGUGGGGAGCGAACAGG